CAAAAGGUGUGCUUUGGUGCAAAGAAAGCGACAGUCUCCCUCUCAACAUAAAACACAAGGGUGAAAGACACAAUAGUGGAAAGAAAUAGGGUAAACUACAAGAAUAGUCACCUAAUUAUUAGUAUGUUUCUGUUUUGGUCAUAUAAGUCUAAAAUUUUCUAUUUUAGGGUGCGUUUGUUUGCUGUAAAAUGGUUUCCGGAAAACAUUUUACACCAUUUCCGGUGUUUGUUUGGGGGAAAAUGAAUUCCUUUAGGAAAACAUUUUCCAAAACACGGUAAAAUCAAGCCCAUUCCUCCGGAAAUUGUCUUACGGCUUCAAAAUUGGUAAGACAUUUUCCAUUCUUCUCUAAGCAGACAUUUUCCAUUCUCUUCUAAGCAGCAGACAUUUUCCAUUCCUCAAAGCUUCCGCCUCUCCUCAUCUCUACCUUGCCAUCUCUGUCUCUCAGCUUUAAUCUUCCUUCUCCAUCUUUCUGCUCCAUAGAUCUGUCGGGCUAUUGAGCACCCAACUUUUUCAGCACUUACAAGACCAUUGUGUGAUCUGUAUUCACUUAUUCCUCCCCUUCUAGUUGCAACGCAUAAGAAACUCAGAAUGGAUCGUAAUCAACAUCAAACUGCAAUUGUCGGAGUCGUGGCUUCAGUUUUAGCUUUUGGGGCUCUUUGAAUUAAAAAAUUAGAAACUAGGAAGGAAAUUGCUUCUCGCCCUCGUGUGAAUCGAGAUUAUGAAAGAGAAAAUUAUAUUAAUAGUAUUUUAUAUAGUGGUGACCAGCAUUGUAUUGAUGUGAUAAGGAUGAGAAAAUUUUCUCAGAGUUGAAGAUAUUGAUACAUUUAUGUGGUGUAAUAUUAUGCACUUGGACAAUGUUCUUACUAUGUGGUGUACCAUUAAUUAUGUAUUUGGAUAUAUGUGGUGUAAUGUUAUGCACUUGGACAAUGUUGUUACUAUGUGGUGUACCAUUAAUUAUGUAUU